ensembl:lncRNA
CGGCGCGAGUUUGAGCGCGGCGCGCGGCGGCUGGCUCUCGGCUUCUCUCGACCCGCGCUCGCCCGCCUCUGCCGGCUCCCGCCAACCUGCAGAGGGCUGAGCCCGCCGGGACCAGGAUCCGCCCCUCGAAGGGAGGCUGCGCGUGGGAAAGGGAAGGCACACUCAGUUGUUUGUAAAUUGGGGGGUGGAGUGGGUACCUGAAGGAGAAGAACACAUUGGAGGUGAAUUGUAGGCCCCGGACCUCCGAUCCUUUUUCGCGGCCUGGGAUUGGGGCCCGGGAGUAGGGGAGGAGGAUAUCCGGGGAAGAGAACAGCAUGCGGGGCGUGCUGUCCUGGCACCUCGUGAUCUCAGAGUUCUCGAAAAGCCUCACUAAGUAGUGGCCUCAAAAUCACAGUGAUCCUCUUGCCUUGGCCACUGGAGUGCUGGGGUUGCAGGAUGAAGAACAGAGCUGGGUGUGGUGGUGCACUCCUGUGAUCCCAUUGCUCAGGAGACUGAGGCAAGAGGAUCACCAUGAGUUCGAGGCCAGCCUGAACUGAACUACAUAGCAAGAUUCCUUGUCUCAAAAAAAAAAAAAAAAGUCCACAUUUCAUCAAUUUUUUCUUAAACCUUAAACCUUUCAUAGAAACUCAUUGUUG